GCCAAUGAUGAUUGAAUCCACCUUGUUGUAGGUGUAGUGGAGCCAGGUCCCUGCUUGUCAGGGAGAACCUACUUGUUGGAAGCUACAUUACAUUGACAUUAGCGGAUUUUACUGAGGC